rnacentral:rRNA from 1 species
GAUUAACGCUGGCGGCGUGCCUAAUACAUGCAAGUCGAACGAGGAGCUUUUGUAUUCGUACGGAAGUCUCCUAGUGGCGAACGGGUGAGUAACGCGUUGGUGACCUGCCCCGAANCGAGGGAUAACUCCGGGAAACUGGAGCUAAUACCUCAUGUGGUCUCAAGGGUUAGAGUCUUUGAGAUUAAAGGACCUCGGUUCACUUCGGGAGGGGCCUGCGUCCCAUCAGCUAGUUGGUAGGGUAACGGCCUACCAAGGCAAAGACGGGUAGGGGGCCUGAGAGGGUCGGCCCCCCACACUGGCACUGAAACACGGGCCAGACACCUACGGGUGGCAGCAGUAGGGAAUAUUGCCCAAUGGACGAAAGUCUGAGGCAGCAACGCCGCGUGCGCGAUGAAGGCCUUCGGGUUGUAAACCGCUUUCAGCAGGGACGAAAAUGACGGUACCUGCAGAAGAAGCCCCGGCCAACUACGUG